CAGGACAGACCUGGGGACUAAGCACACCCAGGAGGCUGCAGAACACAGAUGGCCUGAGCUUCUCCUUGAUCCUGAACUUUGAUGAUGGAGACAACCUGAGAAUCUCCUCCUGUGCCUCCCAGAGAUCCUGAUUCUGCAAGUCAAGGAGCUGGCACUGAAAAUGGGAAGUUUCAAAAAAUCCAGAAGCCCAUCCAUGUCACCCAAGUGCUGAAACUUCUGUGGAUGACCACAGAAGCCAGGUCAUCUCAUUCAUCCCUGAAAAUGCAGAAUUCUCUAUGCUGUUUGCCGACCACAUCCUGGAGCUAGAAAACACCCUCCAGGACUACGGGAUCAGAAACAAGUCCACCAUCCUCAUAGUGGUGCAUCUGCCCGGUGGGCACCAAGACACUACUCCUGCAGGACCAGAGCUGGGGACAUAGAGGCCCUGCCUAGGAGGGGACAACACUCUUCUGGAGAUCCUCAGUCCUGUGCCACUCAGUGGGGAGCAGACUGGGGGCAAUAAAUGAUCCUCAAAUGACCACCUGGGCUGUGCUCCUUCAUCUGGCGAGGAGGCACCUGACAGCGCCUACCCACAGGCGCCUCUUUGGCCUCAACUUAAUGACCCCCCCAAACUGGUUCACCUGUACCCCCACUGCUCCCUAAAAUGGACUCACAACAUCCCAGCUAAGUCUUUUCUGGGAGGGGACC